rnacentral:rRNA from 1 species
GGGCCCGCACAAGCGGUGGAGCAUGUGGUUUAAUUCGACGCAACGCGAAGAACCUUACCUAGGCUUGACAUGUACCAGAAAGCCUCUGGAAACAGAGGCCCCUCUUCGGAGCUCGUGCACAGGUGCUGCA